UACCAGCACCCCGAGUGGUCGGGACGAUUAUUGGGCCUAAAGCAUCCGUAGCCGGUUCUGCAAGUCUUCCGUUAAAUCCAUCUGCUUAACAGAUGGGCUGCAGAGGAUACUAUAGAGCUAGGAGGCGGGAGAGGCAAGCGGUACUUAGUGGGUAGGGGUAAAAUCCGUUGAUCCACUGAAGACCACCAGUGGCGAAGGCGGCUUGCCAGAACGCACUCGACGGUGAGGGAUGAAAGCUGGGGGAGCAAACCGG
rnacentral:rRNA from 3 species